rnacentral:rRNA from 1 species
CCUACGGGAGACAGCAGUGGGGAAUCUUCCGCAAUGGGCGAAAGCCUGACGGAGCAACGCCGCGUGAUCGAAUGAAGGCCUCCGGGUUGUAAAGAUCUGUUGUCAGGGACGAAUAAGCAAUGCGAAUAGUUUUGUGGAUGACGGUACCUGUUUAGAAAGCUCCGGCUAACUACGUGCCAGCAGCCGCGGUAAUACGGAGGGAGGAAGCGUUGUCCGGAAUUAUUGGGCGUAAAGGGCGCGUAGGUGGGAGCUUAAGUCAGGUGUGAAAACCCCGGGCUCAACCUGGAGACUGCACUUGAAACUGGGUGUCUUGAGGGCAGGAGAGGAAAGUGGAAUUCCUAGUGUAGCGGUGAAAUGCGUAGAUAUUAGGAGGAACACCAGUGGCGAAGGCGACUUUCUGGACUGUACCUGACGCUGAGGCGCGAAAGCGUGGGUAGCGAACGGGAUUAGAUACCCUGGUAGUC